rnacentral:lncRNA from 1 species
AAAUUAAAUAUUAAUCGAAAUACAAAUAUUUUAUUAAACAGGAUAAAUAGAACCUAAAAUCCUUGAAAGAACAUACAACACACUAGGAGCUCCGGUCAAAAAAAUAAAAAUAAAAAAAAUAACCAAAAGGGCCGAGGAAGGGCCCAAACAACAAAAGGUUGAAGGACCAAAAGUCCAAAAAGAAUUCUAAAAAAAAAAAAGAGUAUGGGACGACAUCAAAAUCCUAAGCCCAAAAAGAAAGAAAACGCUCGAUGCGAACUCCAGCAAUCCAAAACACAAGAAGAACUUUCAAAUUCCUAAAUUUGUUAGCAUAUAAGCAGAACUUGUUUAUAAUAGUAGAAUUUUUCAAUAGGGAGUUAUAAGGUUUAAAUUAUCUAUUUUUAUUAUUAUUUAUUAUUAUUAUUAUUUUAAAUGGGACUAUAUAUACAACCACCCAAAAUCCAAUUUUGUUGACAUAUAAUUUAUAAGUAAAAAAUUGGAUGAAUUGCAUGUAAAUAUAAAUGAUAAAACUUUUCAAAAGAUAAGCUAAUCUAAAUAAAAAUUCAUGUCAAACUCGAUAAUCCAAAUAAAUAUUUUAUCAGAGUUACACCUCGAACAAUGUAGAAAA